rnacentral:rRNA from 1 species
GGGAACUGAAACAUCUAAGUACCCCGAGGAAGAGAAAUCAACCGAGAUUCCGAAAGUAGCGGCGAGCGAAAUUGGAUUAGCCCAAACCAGUAUUGUUACGGCAAUGCUGGGGUUGUAGGACCACAAUAUUCGAGGCAAAAUGAAUUAGAACAGUUUGGAAAGACUGACCAAAGAGGGUGAUAGUCCCGUAUAAGUAAGUGAUGUUAAGAUAGUGGUAUCCUGAGUAGUGCGGGACACGUGUAAUCCUGUAUGAAUCCACCGGGACCAUCCGGUAAGGCUAAAUACUAGUCAGUAACCGAUAGUGAACGAGUACGGUGACGGAAAGGCGAAAAGAACAGUGAGAAGCUGAGUGAAAUAGAACCUGAAACCGUAUGCUUACAAUCAGUCAGAGCCUGAUACGUGGAGACUUCGGUCACCACGUCGGGUGAUGGCGUGCCUUUUGGAUAAUGAGCCAACGAGUUACUUUCAGUAGCGAGGUUAAGGCAGUAACAGCCGUAGCCGAAGCGAAAGCGAGUCUGAAUAGGGCGUUUAGUUAGUGGGGGUAGACGCGAAACCCGGUGAUCUACCCAUGGGCAGGUUGAAGUUCCGAUAGUCUCGGAAUGGAGGACCGAACCGAUAUACGUUGAAAAGUGUUCGGAUGACCUGUGGGUAGGGGUGAAAGGCCAAUCAAACUUGGCGAUAGCCGGUUUUUCACGAAAAGUAUUUAAGUACUACGUUACUAAAGUAAGUUAUAUGUAUAGUAACAAACUAAACAAAGGGAUCCAUAAAAUUUACUGAGUUUAAUUUAACUUCGAAUUACAACUUCAUUUUAGUAAUAGCCAGUCUUUGGGCGAUAAGGUUCCAAGACAAAAGGGUAACAACCCAGAUCGUAUAUUAAGAUCUUUAAAUUAUAACUUAGUGGGGAAGGUUUAUAUUAAAUCAAAUAAAUUUGGAUAGGCUUAGAAGCAGCUUUUCAUUGGAGAAAGCGUUUUAGCUCAUUAUUCUUUUAAUGUAAACCAAAAAAUACUCGAGGCUCCAAGUUAUAUAUCGAAAUAGCGAAUCAAUUUUUUAUAUUUGAUGGUAGUGAAACGUUCUGUACUUAAUUUUUAAUAAUGUAAAUUUUAAAAAUCUAAUCAGAAGUGCUAAUGCUGACAUGAGUAACGAAAACUACGUUAAAAUCGUAGUCGCCUAUUGUUCAAGGUUUUCAACGUAAUUUUAAAUUCGUUGACUUAGUCGGUUCUUAAAAUUAUGGUAAAAACUUAUAAUUGAUAGAAAUUUUUUACCAGUUAUCUACACUUUUUAGUGUGUAAAAAUUUAGUAUUAUAUGUAUUUUUAAUGGUUAAAAUAUUAAAUAAUUAUAAAUUUCAGGAAAAAUGAUAACGUAAUUGACCGUACCUAAACCGACACAGGUGAACUUGUGAAAUACACAAAGGUGAAUGAGUAAAUUAAAUUGAAGGAACUCGGCAAAUUAACUCUGUAAGUUCGCAAUAAAGAGUACCAAUAAAUAUUUUAUUGGUGUCACAAAAUAGAAAGUAACGACUGGUUAUCAAAACCACAGGACUCUGCAAAUUAGUUAAUAAGAUGUAUAGAGUCUGACACCUGCCCGGUGCUUGAAGGUGAUAAAUGCAAGUUAUUGCUUACAUUGUAAUCCCAAGUAAACGGCGGUUCUAACAAUAAGAAUCCUUAGGUAGCGAAAUUCCUUGACGGGUAAGUUCCGUCCUGCAUGAAUGGUGUCACGAUUGCUUUACUGUCUCCAAUUUAACCUCAGUGAAAUUACAUAGCCUAUGAAAAUGUGGGUAACCUGCAGUAAGACGGAAAGACCCUAGAUCCUUUACUUUAGCUUUAUAUUGUAAGAAUCAAUAUUUUAUGUAGAAUAAAUGGAAGUAAUAAAAAUACAUAAUUGAAAUACCAUUUUUCAUAUUGCGUUCUUUCUAAAUUUAUCGUAAGUGUAAUGAUAGUAUAAAGUAGAAAGUUUACUUGGGACGAGUACCUCCUAAAAUGUAACGGAGGUGUACAAAGAUAAAUUACAGUUGUUUUAUUAAACAAUUAAGCGUAUAAUGGCAAUAAAUUUGUUUGACAGUUAGAUUGAUAAAUCGUACUGGGACGUAAGUCAGUCAUAGUGAUCCGGUACUAAUGUGUGGAAAUUGUAUCGCUCAACAAAUAAAAGGAACUCUAGGGAUAACAGAUUCAUCAUGGUUGAGAGCUCUUAUUAAUGCCAUGGUUUGAUACCUCGAUGUCGACUCAUCUUAUCCUGGAAUUGAAGUAGAUUCCAAGGGUCUAGUUGUUCGCUAGUGAAGAAGGUACGUGAGUUGGGUUCAGAACGUCGUGAGACAG